rnacentral:lncRNA from 1 species
GUUUCUCUUAAUAAAUUGACACACAAUUUGACAGAAGGAAAAGGAACAAAUAUAUACUGUGAAUUAGUAUACUUACUUUGCAUUCGAUAAUAUUGAAUAAAACUUAUAAGGAAGUUCUAGUUGUUCCCAUCCGUCUGUAGCUGCUGCACAACCUAUGAGCUGCAGGUUGACUGAAGCUCUGAACAUAUAAAAAGGAAAACAGAUUAUUCAUUCGUCAAGAAAAAAGUAGGGAAAAGAAGUGGUCGCAACUGGUUAUAAACUUACCCGGAAAAUUUGUGACCUGCAAGUUGGUUGUGGUCAUCCUUCCAAGUUUUGCUACGCACUCAUUGUUUUCAAUGUGCCUUUUCACAUUUGUUGAAUUUGUCUUAUAAUGUUAUUGGCGAUGACCAUGAUGCAUCACUUAGUGUUAGGUUCUUGCUGCAUGUUUUCCAUGUUAAUGAUUCUUUUCCUGAGCUAGAAAUAGUCUGAAUUCAGUUGCUCAAGCUCUGUUCUGUAAUCUUAAUUCCACACUGGCAUAGGUUAAAGGGAACGAGGAGGCAAGCCUCCCCAUCUUCCGCAUAUCUUGAUCAUCCGACAUGGCAUGAAUCACCGAACAUCCUGAAAGGAAGAAACCAGCUUGUAGAAUAUAUUUCUUCUUGUUACAUAACAUAUGUCCUACUUAGUUAAGUAGGAUUUUCAUUAGUUCUGUGAUACUUUUAAUUGCAUAAUAUCAG